rnacentral:tRNA from 1 species
GGGGGAAAAGCUCAGUGGUAGAGCGCUGGAUUCUAGUCCCAGCGGUCGGGGGUUCGAUCCCCUCUUCCCUCA